UUUGUAAAAUAAAAAAAAAUGGCAAAAAAAAAAGAAUGAGACAUGGGGGAGCCAACCUUGGAGAGCUGAGCAUAAA